rnacentral:rRNA from 1 species
UACGGAGGAUGCAAGCGUUAUCCGGAUUCAUUGGGCGUAAAGCGUCCGCAGGUGGUUAUGCAAGUCUGCUGUCAAAGCGCGAGGCUUAACUUCGUAAAGGCAGUGGAAACUGUGUGACUAGAGGAUGGUAGGGGUCACGGGAAUUCCCAGUGUAGCGGUGAAAUGCGUAGAUAUUGGGAAGAACACCAGCGGCGAAAGCGUGCGACUGGGCCAUUACUGACACUCAUGGACGAAAGCUAGGGGAGCGAAAGGG